rnacentral:rRNA from 1 species
CCUACGGGGGGCAGCAGUGAGGAAUAUUGGUCAAUGGACGAGAGUCUGAACCAGCCAAGUAGCGUGAAGGAUGACUGCCCUAUGGGUUGUAAACUUCUUUUAUAUGGGAAUAAAAUGUUCCACGUGUGGGAUUUUGUAUGUACCAUAUGAAUAAGGAUCGGCGAACUCCGUGCCAGCAGCCGCGGUAAUACGGAGGAUCCGAGCGUUAUCCGGAUUUAUUGGGUUUAAAGGGAGCGUAGGUGGAUUGUUAAGUCAGUUGUGAAAGUUUGCGGCUCAACCGUAAAAUUGCAGUUGAAACUGGCAGUCUUGAGUACAGUAGAGGUGGGCGGAAUUCGUGGUGUAGCGGUGAAAUGCUUAGAUAUCACGAAGAACUCCGAUUGCGAAGGCAGUUCACUGGACUGCAACUGACACUGAGGCUCGAAAGUGUGGGUAUCAAACAGGAUUAGAUACCCUAGUAGUC